UACUUCAUGAUCUUCCUAAAUGAACUUUAAUAAUUUAUGAAGGGGUGAUGAAACUGCCUUUGCACCAUGUAUCCAUGGUCUUCCCAAGAGCAGGUGUAGCUAGGAUGAAUAUCCAUAACAUGAAACUUAGUUUUGAACUCAGAAAGCCCUAUUUGGAUGUGCAAAUCAAUCUCUCCUAUGGUAUCUCUCUUCCCUCCAUCGAAUGCUCUCACAUUUACAUGGCUUUGACGAAUUUUCCCC
rnacentral:lncRNA from 1 species